ensembl:lncRNA uncharacterized protein C19orf57-like
CCCCCUCCCAGGGCACCCCACAAGGCACCGUCACCCCCCAGCUCUCCGCCGCCCCUCACCCCCCGAUGCCGGUGAUCCCGGUUAUCCCGGUUUAUCCUCACUCACUUCCUGCUCCGCCGGCUGCUGUCAACACCCCGCGCUUUACAGCACGGCCGACGCAAAAGCCGCUGUCGCAAAAACCUCUGCGGUUGCGUCUCGCUUGGCGGCGCGGGAGAACUACAACUCCCGGCGUGCCCCGCGGGCAGGGAAAAGGCGGGAAAAACGUGAGGGGGACACUGGGCAGAAUGCGCUGAGGUAACACCAGGAUGGGGAAGCGUAGGACCCACACACUCCCAGGCGACAGGAAAUUCCACGCUCCCAAAGCCAAGCGGAUCCUUCAGGAAGCUCCAGGAGCUUCAGCCAGCUCAGCCGUGCCCGUUCCUUCCCAGAGCAGCGAUCCCGAUGGAGAUCCUGCCAAGGUGGAGUCCCAGGCGAGUCUGGAUCCCCUCAGAUCCAAUCCUUUGGAAUUUGCUGGGUCCAACGGCAGGAACAAGGUGGAUCCAGAGGGAAUCCCUGUGGGAGAGCACGGAGCCGGAUCCCUGCAGGAAGGAAGAGACAAGAUUGGAGGCGACAGAGCACUAGGAUCACCCAAACAGAGCAUUUCCAAUGGGAUGGAAGAGAAUCUUCUGGAAUUGCCCCAGCCGGGAAUUUUGGAAGCAAAUGGGACAGGAGAGGAUGAGCUGGAGUCACCAAAACCAGGAAUUCUGGAUGGGGCAGGAGAGAAUUGUCCAGAAUCACCAAAAGCAGCAAUUUUGGAGGUGGAUGGGGCAGGAGAGGAGCCCCCAGAGUCAGGGAAACAUAUAAUUUUGGAUGGAAUGGGUCAGAAUCAUCUGGAAUCGUCUCAGCUGGGGAUCUUGGAGGGGAAUGGAGCAGGAGAGGAGCAGCUGGAGUCACCCCAGAUGAGAAUUCCAGAGGCAGAUGGGGCAGGAAAAGAGCAGCUGGAGUCACUGAAGCUGGUAAUUUUGGAUGGAACAGGAGAGGAUCAGCUGGAAUCACCAAAACCAGGAAUUUCAGAGGUGGAUGGGGCAGCAGAGGAGCAGCUGGAAACACCAACACACGCCAUUUCGGAUGGGGCAGCAGAGGAGCAUCCAGAGUCAGUGAAACCAGGAAUUUCAGACGCAGAUGGGGCAAGAGAGGAGCAGCCAGAGCCACUGAAACAGGGAAUUUGGGAUGGGGCAGGAGAGAAUCAGCUGGAGCCACCAAAACCAGGGGAUUGUGGAGCAGAGGGAUCCAGCCCCGAGGACACGGAGACCGGCACAGCCCCUGCGGAGAGUUCAGAGGUGCCGGACGCAGCGGGAGGGGGGGAAGGUGCCCUGGAGGAGGGAGGUGGCACUGGGAUUGCCCUGAGCAUGGACACAGGGUCCCCAGAUGGUCCCAGAGAUCCCCAGAGCGAUGGAGGGGACACAGAGAGCCGGAAUUCCCAGAGCGGGAAUCCCAGGAUGGCAACACCAGGACGAGAUCCAGCAGCCAGCAGCACCGAGCCCCAGGAACACCGGGAAGGAACCAGCCCAGAGCUCCCAGCAGAGGAGCCAUUCCCGGGUGCCACAGGGCAGCAGCCCUGGGACACCACUGGAUCCACAGGGAACAGCCCGGUGCAGCCACGGGAAAGAGCCGCGGAGCCGGCAGACGCGAGCGACGUCAUCCGCGGGCUGAUCCGGGAACUCUCCAACCUCAAGUGAGUCCUAAAUCCGUGUUCAUUUCCCUGGGAUGGGGGGUCCAGCAGCUGGGGGUGACGCCUGUGUCCCCCCACAGCCGCCUGGCCAUGGGUGCCCACCGGGGACUGGAGCUGCUCCGGAGGCCAAAGCCACGGCGGGGCCGGAGGCCAGUGCCCAGCGGAAGCCGCUGGAAAGAGGGGUAGGGGCGUCAGGAACUGUUGUAGAACAGCAAUUUAUUGAUGGAAACAGUGGGAAUAAACCACCCUUCAUCUGGAGAACA